rnacentral:tRNA from 1 species
GGGGGUGUGGCUCGAUGAUAAAGUGUUUGUCUAGUAUGCACAAGGCCGUGGGUUCGAUUCCCAGCACUGCCA